UUAGGUCGGGAACUCAAAGGAGACUGCCAGUGAUAAACUGGAGGAAGGUGGGGAUGACGUCAAGUCAUCAUGGCCCUUACGACCAGGGCUACACACGUGCUACAAUGGCGCAUACAAAGAGAAGCGACCUCGCGAGAGCAAGCGGACCUCAUAAAGUGCGUCGUAGUCCGGAUUGGAGUCUGCAACUCGACUCCAUGAAGUCGGAAUCGCUAGUAAUCGUGGAUCAGAAUGCCACGGUGAAUACGUUCCCGGGCCUUGUACACACCGCCCGUCACACCAUGGGAGUGGGUUGCAAAAGAAGUAGGUAGCUUAACCUUCGGGAGGGCGCUUACCACUUUGUGAUUCAUGACUGGGGUGAAGUCGUAACAAGGUAACCGUAGGGGAACCUGCGGUUGGAUCACCUCCUU
rnacentral:rRNA from 1 species